rnacentral:lncRNA from 1 species
AUUACUACACCCUUAAGAUGCAGUCUCUGCUUCCUCCAUAAAUUCAUCUGGCACCUUCCCUUUACAGAAGUUCUAUUAGAUUUGGCAUAAUUUCUCUAAAACUUAGGGGGCUUACAAGAACAACUAUUUAUUUAGCUUGAGAUUUUGCAGUUUGACCAGUUGAUCUAGGCUUAGCUGAGUGGUUCUUCUGAUCUUAGGUGGUUUCAUGUGACUGCAUCAAAUUCUGGAUCAACUAGGGACUAUCUCAUAGAGGAAAGCCUCAGAGGGGUGGGUCAUCUUGGCUCCACAUGGUUGCUCAUCUUAGGUUGGAAUUGUUGUCAUGGUGGAAGCAAGUUUCCAAGAGUGGAAGAAGAAGCAAGCCUAGAGAAAAAGACACACUGUCACUUCCAGUGCAUUCUACUGGCUCAAGAAAGUCAGGAAACCAACCAAGAUUUCCGAGAACAGGGAAACAAAUUUCAUUGCCUGUAGGGAGAAGUGGCAAGGACAUACUGUGAGGAACUGGGAUUGAGCAAAGAGUCAAGGAUCCUGGGUAGUUUUGUCAUCUACCAUUUUCUAGAGGAGAUGUCCCAGGGCACCGGUAGAGAACAACCAGUACACAUCAGAGAGGGAGGUUGGAGUGUUCCAGGAGGGAAUUUCUAAGACCAAAAAAAAGGAACUAAUAGACAACCUGAUGUGUUAGACUAGAUUGAAAGAAGUUUUAGAGUUCUUUCAGAAAGUACUAGUACGGAUUAUAGGAUCACCAAAAACAAUUCCUAGAGUUCUCAUUGUAGCUCAGUAGGUUAAGAACCCAACAUAUUGUUUGUGAGGAUGUGGGUUAAAUCCCUGGCUUUGCUAAGUGGGUUAAGGAUCUGGCAUUGCCAUGACCAGCAGCUCAUAUCCGAUGUUACUGUGGCUGUGGCACAGGCCUGCAGUUGCAGCUCCGAUAUGACCCAAGAACUUCCAUAUGCAACAGUUGCAGCCCUAAAAAAAAAGUAAAAGAAAACAAUUCCUUUAGGGUCAGGUGGGUAAAAUAAUUCCGCAAAGUGACCAAAUGAAAUUAGCCAAGAAUGAGGUACAGAAUGCAUACUCAUCUUAAAACGUUGAAAUUAUCCAUUUCAUGGAAAAUAAAAAGGAUUCCCUAUAUAUUAAAUAUAGUAUAAUAUAGAGUUCAUUGUGUGAAUGGUCAUCUUUUUAUAUUUACCUACUUACAUGUUUACAUGGUCAUAAUAAUCCAAAUACUGAGUAUUAAUUUAGCAAUAAAAUAUGUAACACAAUAUAAUGAGAAAAUAAAGCACAGGAGGAUGCAUGUUUUUGGAUUGGGCAAUAGGGUCGAAUUUGGAAAAUCAAAAAUCUCAAGGUUAAGAGAGAACUCAAAGCAGCUCUAGUACUGCUAGUAGGAACUGAAACGAGUCUUCGACCUACUGAGAAAUUCCCAUGGUGCAAACUAAAAAGCAAGGAUUUCAAACCAAGCAGUUAAUGUUACAGACUUAUUUUGUCCCAUAUAUUAUAUUAGCAUGCAGUAUUUGUCUAAGUUUAUUGGAAGAAAUCUGGGCAAAGUAGUACAAAGUUUAAUUCAAAACAUGUGGGAAAUCACAUUUAAAUAAACAUAAGGAAAGAAUUUUAAGAUUUCCAGUUGCACAUGGUCAAUCUUUGUGGCUGCCCUUAAAAAGAGUAGUUAAUGUAGCCACAGGAUGAUAAUAAAUGAUGUCAAAACCUCAAAGUUUAUUGGGAAGUUUUCCAAAAUGUCUCAGUAUUUGCUUGAAAUGACUCUGCCCAUGAACAUGGGUUUUAAAAUCAUUACAGGACAAUUAUCCUUCUCCUUUAGGAUAAAUUUGGAAAUUUUGCUUUAAGUAGGGCCUUCUAUUUUAAGAAUAACUUUGAACUUAUACUGAGAAAAUUAGUAUGUAUAAAUGUAUACAAAGUCUACAACACAAGAACAUGAAAGAGAGCACAUUCCUGAGUGACGAAAUUAUCUCUUCAACCUCUAGUUUGGAGCAGGUACUUAUUUUUAGCUCAGAGGCUUUAUAAUUUUUAUAAAAUAAGAUUACCCAUAAAUCUUCCUUGUCAGAAAACCAACAGUAAGUGACAGAGUUUUCCAGAUCUCACUUUCCUUGAAGCAAUUCUCUUUCAUUUUCUGAAAACCACAUUCUCCUCGAGGCCCAUGAAAUUGAUGUAUUGGCCAGUGGGGAUGGGUAACCUAUAGAAUAAGCAACUGGCCGGAGCCAUCGUUCCCACAGGCAUUCUCACAAGGAAACACCUAAGCUUCAUUCAAGCCUUCACUGUGUAAUACCCUCAUUUCAGCAGAGCUUGUGGAUCAUAAAAUGCAUCUUGGUGAGAAAAACCACUCUGAUCUGUUCAGCAGGCCCCAUUCCCAGGGCCCCUGGGAACCAAGCAUCUGUUUUGUGAUUUUUUGAGGCCAAAAAAAAAGCAGACCAAUCUGUACUUUCUGGCCUUGGUAUCUCAUCUCUCACCUCAAGAUUCUAGAUGGGUAGUUGACAGGAGGUAGAUUUUAACCAAACCAUUUUCAUAGUUUUAAAUUAUCUUGGUGUGGAUAGACUCUAUAAAAACAAUAUGACUAUCAAUUUGAAGAUGAAAGGCAAGAUUUUUAUUUUUUCAUUUAAUUGUGUGGACAGCUAUUGUGUGUCUGCUUUGGGAAGAGGCCUGGCCAAAACACUGAGGAUUUGCUAAAAUGAGUAGUUUUCAGGCACAGCCCUGAAGAUCUUACUUUAGCCCUGGAAUCAGAUAUUUGCAAAUACGUGGGCUGUAGGCAAACCUGGUUUUGUUGGCUUGUCUAAUUUGAAUGUUUUAAGCUGGGCAUCCAACUCCUUCUUUGCUCAUUUACAUUUGACCACUCCCUAUAAUUAUAUUAUCCACCUGACCAUCCCUCCCAAGUAAUUGACCUUGCAGCUUUAAAGUAAAACACUAAAUAUAUUACAUAAGAAAUGAAGUGGAAAACUGUGAUGUAGAGAGAAACAUGGAUGUAUAAUGUGAAAGACACACAUAUAUGAAUCCUUUUAAUGUGAAAGAGCCUUAAUAUCUAUGUGAUUUUAAGUGAGUUGUAAUAACUGAGCCUAUAAAUGGAGCUAAAGAUACUAUCUCACAGUGUGGUUGUGAGGAUUAAACAACACAAUAUUCCUUAUUUGUACAAGACCCAUCACGUGGUUAAGCCUCUAUAGUUUGGCAGCUAUUCUUUGCCUCCCCUACAGUCAAAGUUUAUGGCAGCUCAGAGAUCCAUUAAUUCUGGCCUGGUGAGCAGGGAACACUUGACAAAAGCAAGUGAUCAUUUGAACUGAGCUGAGAUGAGUAAAAAGGAUUACAAUGGACAAAGAAAGGACGUGGGGCUAUCUAAGCUGUAGGGUCUUCUGUUUGGGGAAAUUAUGUUUUGAGUCAGUCCAUUUGAUGAGAGUUUUAUGGGGCUAAGUUUGGUGGAUAUCAUCUCCAGAGGGUUAGCAGAGAGCUAGCCUGGAUCAGGCACCACUGUUCAUCACUUGUUUUCAUGUGUUCCCAUCAUGGGGUAGGAAGCACCAUUGUUCUAUUUAUGCAGAAGUAAAGUAAUUCCCAGAUUCCUGGAGCAGAGAUGUAGGGCUUGAAAGGCUAUUUGUAGAAGGCAGUCACGCAAGAGGAUAUUAAGCUCCAGUGACCAAUCCUGAAGUUAUAAGAAUGCACAGAUACUCCUUGAGAACAAACUCAGAUACCAUAUCUCAGUCAAUUGAGUUCUCCUAAGGUUUAGUGACAGGCACAUUAUGUUUUACAUGGUUCUUAGGAUUACUAUAGCAUGUCUUGUAAGUCCUUCUGAAUGGACCAUAACUUCUGCAGGUGGUGGUUAACUACCUGAGAUGAGGGAAGAGUCAGUGGCUAGAGUGGGUACACUGUGGGUGAAAGAGGAGGUGAGUGGUUCUGUGCAGAUUCUGAAGUAUCUCGAGAAGUUAUGAUCUGUGUGGGGUGAGUGGGAAUAGGGCAUUUCCCACAGAAGUGGCUGAAUUGUUCCAUUGGGCCAUCAGUCUGUAGGAAGUGAUGCUGACCAUGUCGGCGGACAUGAAGGAAUUUGAACAGUGCUCUCAAAAUCUAAGAUAUCAACAUGGACCGAGUAUCUGCAAUCCAGAAAACUGGUACUUCAAGGAGGUGAAAAGCUUCCUUCCAUGACAGGGGCUGCAGAGAUCAUGAAUGUGGAGAGAAUGGAGCGACAAUGACAACAUUCAUGGAACAAAGUGUGCCAUCUAAGGAAGUGUGUCCAUCCUUAUGACUACAGAACGUUAUAAGACAUAAUAGCUGAAAUAAAGUCCACCUUUAGACUGUCCAAAGGCGUACAGGGGUAAGGAGGAAGACCCCACCAGGGGUCUUAGUUAUUUUUCUACUGUUCUGCUUGCCAUCCCUCGGCUGGUGACCAAAGCACUAAGCCCCUGAUACUAUCGCAUCCCUGGCACUGUCCCCCUACUGAAGGAUACAUGUAGUUUUCAAAUACCUAUGAGAGACCCAGCAAGCUGCUGCUUAUGUGAGCUCAUUACAUAUCUUCCCUCCAGUAUGAGGGUUAGGUGCUACAGCGGGAGUUUUGGCAAAAUUCUAGCCAUGUAGAAGUCUAUGAAUUCCAAGAAAUCAGAGGAUUCUAAAGCUCUGGACAACUCAUCAUGCACUUUCCUAAGACAUCCUCUGGUCUUCUCACUAAGAUAUUAACCCAUUCUAUUCAGGUGACCAGGUGAGACUGCAGACUUUGGUGUAUGGAAGCCCGCAAAACCUAUCCUUCAAAGAGUUCAUUCACAGCAUUUGCCACAUCCUAGCUAAUAAAGCUGUCAAACAUGGCCAUCCUAAGGUCAGAAAUCUGGGGUCGGCCCAGCAUCCAGGGUCACCCUACUGGAAGAUGCAAAUCACCAUCAUGCCACCACUUCAGAAAAACAGCACUUUAUGGCAAUCUCCCUUCAUCACCGAACCUGGGUCUCCUCGGGUAGCUAGCUGCUUUUGCUGUCAUAUGUUGAGAAAAUUGAUGGAUUCCCCCAAAAUGUCUCAGGAGGCAGAAAUGUGAGCAGGUUUCAACUUCCAACAUUUGAGAAUCAUCAGGAAGCUGUCGUGCUCCCUAUUUUUGACCACAGUGCAGUAUUUCCUAAGGAGGAUGUGACCACUGAUCCCCACUGGGUAAUGAGCAGCUGGACCUGGAAGCUUGUACAGGUUGCUCUCUGCCAGGGAUGUCUGAUGUGCCUCUUAAGGAUUUGCUUGUACUGAAACUGUCAGAGAGGCUCUAACCCAAGUAGAUCCUGGACAUGCAGUACACUCACAUGCUUAUUAGCCCUUGCAGAUACACCCAUGGGAGCUUCACAUAAAAAUUCCAGUUUUCAGAUUCUCUAGAAAAAUAAACAUCUCCAAACAAAGGACCCACAUUCCCACAUGGCAACAAUCUGCAGGAUCUGAAUAAAAACUACUUCUUUACACUGGCAUAUACUCUCCAAUCACCCCAACCUUCUCCACUCCUUGUCAUGUUCUAUGGACCACCUCCCUCCUUUACAUUUGCAUUUGCAUACCUUAAUUUACAGGAAGAGAAAAGACAAAGAGAGUAGCAUGAUAAGAGGAAGGAAGGUAUGAAUUGCAAAUUACUUAAAAGGACAUAUGCUAACCUAUGAGGAUAGAGAGAUGGGUUGGGACUAGGAUAGAACUAUAUAUGAAAACUUUAAGUUACUGAGAUGUUUCUUAAGAUAAUGUUAAGACAAUAAAGGCUUUCACUUAAGACUUUACCCAACUGCAAAGAGCUUUACAAAGAUAACUUCCAAAGCAGUGUGGCAGACACGGUAUAAAAAUUAAAGCUAGAAACAAGGACGUAAUUAUAGAAAAGUGCACAUAAGACAAAAUAAGAGUAUGACUACAUCUUGCCCAUAGUGACAGAAAGGAAGGAAGGAAUAUUGGAGAGAAUCCACAGAAUUUAGGAGCCAUUUGGCUGGAUAAGAGUGAGGAAACAAAGGUGAGUGUGAUGAUGCUAGCCUAAGUCUCUGGGAGAAGAACAUUAACCCAGGAGAGAGUUCAGGGAGAAGUGAAUGAAGAGAAUGAUGUUCCAUUCAGACAUGUUAAAAAGGAGGAACUGACAAGUCAUGUAAUAUACAUACAUCCAACAAGUGGACUUGGGAGAAAAGAACUAGGAAUGGGGACUUGGAAAUCAACAACAAAGCAAGUUCUUUGAAGCCAAGAAUGAAGUAGAAUAGCAAGGGCAAGGAGAAGAGGGUUAUAGCACCCUCAAGAGCACUAAACUUAACAGAAAUGGUGAUGGAAGAAGUGUCAACAGUGAGACUUAAAGGAAGCAUAAGAGGGUGUUCCUGUUGUGGCAUAGCUGAAAUGAAUCCCAUUUGUAUCCUCAAGGAUGCAGGUUCGAUCCCUGGCCUCGCUCAGUGGGUUAAGGAUUGGGCCAUGAGCUGUGGUGUAGGUUGCAGACACAGCUCAGAUCCCGCAUUGCUGUGGCUGUGGUGUAGACUGGCAACUAUAGUUCCAAUUCGACCCCUAGCCUGGGACCU